rnacentral:rRNA from 1 species
GUCCACGCUGUAAACGAUGAGUGUUCAAUAUUGGAAUUAAUUUUUCAGUGUUUUAGCUAACGCGUUAAACACUCCGCCUGGGGAGUACGAUCGCAAGAUUGAAACUUAAAGGAAUUGACGGGAGCUCGCACAAACGGUGGAGCAUGUGGUUUAAUGCGAUAACACGCGCAAAACCUUACCAGUUCUUGACAUAUUUUUUAUUAUAAAAGUGUUAUUGCUUUUAUUAUUAAUUUUACAGGUGUUGCAUGGCUGCCGU